GACGAACGCUGGCGGCGUGCUUAACACAUGCAAGUCGAACGAAGUGGCGAACGUGUGAGUAACGCGUAAUCAACCUGCCCUUCAGAGGGGGACAACAGUUGGAAACGACUGCUAAUACCGCAUACUUAAGGAGGGGAUUGCGUCUGAUUAGCUAGUUGGAGGGGUAACGUCCCAUAAAGGCGAAGAUCAGUAGCCGGGCUGAGAGGAUGAACGGCCACAUUGGUACUGGGACACGGCCCAGACUCCUACGGGAGGCAGCAGUGGGGAAUCUUUCGCAAUGGAAGAAAGGCUGGAGGAGCAACGGCGCGUGAGUGAUGACGGCCUUCGGGUUGUAAAGCUCUGUUAAUCGGGACGCGGUACCGGAAUAGAAAGCCACGGCUAACUACGUGCCAGAAGCCGCGGUAAUAC
rnacentral:rRNA from 1 species